rnacentral:ncRNA from 1 species
GAUAUUUGAAGUAGAGAUUGUGCUGCUACACACCUAUUAAUAGGUCAAAAGAAAUGCAGGAAAGGGCACACCUGCCAAAUAUC